CCGCCCGCAGCAAGAUGCUGACGGGGAUCGGGGGCUUCGUCCUGGGCUCGGUCUUCCUGGCGCUGGGGCUCGGCUUCUACGUGCGCAAGAAGAGCUCCUGAGCCGCCGGCGGCCGCAGCCCCUCCCCGUGGCCUCGGGCCCGCCCGGGACCCCCCGCUCCGUCCCCGCGCUCACUUUGGGGGGGCCCUGUGUCCCCCCCUCCCCUUCCCCAGCGCCGCUGUCACUGUGUCCCCGCCCGGCUGCUCCCAGUGCUCCCAAUAAAGCUUCCCAGUUGGA